rnacentral:lncRNA from 1 species
AGUACUCUUAGCAGUGAAAACACGAAAUGGCCAAAGAGAGGUUUUGCUUCUUACUCCAAAGUCCAUUCUUAAGCAGCUGGUCAGAUACAUGCAGAGCACAGAGCCCUGCUUGGGAAGGUAGCUUCGGAGAACAAAUUGCCACCUAAAACGAUUGGGCAGGACCAGCUUCUCCCAAAGCUAAAAAUGGUGAGUCAGGGGUUUUACGUCCACUCUGAGGCAAGAAGGCAGAUGUAACAGCUGAAAGCUCUGGCUGACAAGGUGCGGAGGGACAAACAAAUGCGGGUGCCAGGUAUACCGAGGGGGCCAGCAACGCGCGUGCGGGCAGAAUGCGUAUUGCGGAUGAUAGACGCCCGAAACCUGCUCCCCAGUGAGAACAAAGGCAGGAGCUGAGCAAGAACCUGAUUGGUGCCGGGUGCUCACCGGUGACCGCCGGGCCCCGGAGAUAACUCGGAUUGCCGGCUGGCGCAGAGCUCGGUGCUCUUUGGAGCCGCAGCUCCCCACGCGGCCUUGGCAGUGAUCACACAGGAGUGUGCGUUAUGACAUCACCUGUUUUCGCUUUUUAGAACCUGAUCAGUAUUCUUGGCUUCUCCUCUUUUAAAGGUCUCUAGUGUACCAGGAUUUGUGCAGGCCUGCAGUUCGUAGAAUGAAUCUGUUGGAGAUGAUUUAAAAGAACCGUUCCACUGGUUUGCAUUUCUUUUUAUUUUUAAUUUUAAAAAACUAUCGUGGCUUCCUUAGGGAUUCGGUGUGUUGUGAUGCAAAAUCAGGAAGGUACACUUGGAGGAGCUAGCAAGUUUAGCAUAUCAAAGCUAUUAGACCAAAUUGCGUGUUUAUAACUGCCAAUCCCCUCAUUUCUCAACAGCUGUCUCCACUCUCCCUUUUAGAGACUAACACGUUAAACCAAGUCUACACAAGGAACAAAGGAAAUGAAAAUCUGCUGGUGUCAGGUUUAUAUAGAUUAAAUUAGACUGGAAAAUCCCCAAACGGUCUAAGUUUUGUGGUUGGGUAAAUGUCUCGAUCCAUUUAGUUAGUGAUUGCUGAAGGUUGCUUGAUGAUUGUGUAGACCUACAUAACCUAGAAUAGCAAUGGUGUGGGAAAGGUGCUUAACAUUCAGUUAGAAGAAGAAACUGUAAAAGCAAGAAAAUUUAUCGGAGGGAGAAAUUACCACAUGCCCUUCAGUGCAGAGAACCAAGAAAUCCAGGCAAAAAGUCAGCAAGGCACAGUUUUUCCAAGAACUAAAACACAUAUGUGUCCUCAUUUAGUGGUAAAUUUCUUGGGCUAUAUUCCUGGCUUGUUCUGUCUUUUAAAGCAUAUUUUAUAUGAGUACAUUUUAGAAGGAAGGAGAGUUGAUGGAUGAAGUGAAUUUUUGUACACAGUUUGAAUUUUCUCAAAUAGUGUUUUAACUUCAAAUUAUUUUCUAAUAUGUUCUUUUUAUAAGUUUUUUUCGCCUAACAGCUCAAACCCUUUGCAAAGAGGUCUUUUAAGUUCUACAAUAACUAAAUUCCCAAUAAAUGAUAGGCAAGAGGGCCAGUCCUGCACAAUUAUGCCCUCUAACAAAGAUGACCAAAAGGGAAGUUUUAGGGCCUGAAUAUCUUCAGUGAUACCUGGUCAGAUACCUGAGGGGUUCUGUCCACUACAACGCUCCUCCAAACUUUAAUAACAUCUUUUUAGUGCUCUUCAUUUGGCUAUUAAUCAGGUAGUGCGUCAGGACAGUUCUUAAUUUCCAUCCUUUCAAUUCUCAAUGCUGGUAACUCAUUCUCAGUACACAGCAGCUACCCUUUCUGGUCUUCACACCCUCAAUUCUCACUGCCAUCAUAUUUGUUCCCUCUCCUGGGAGAAUCCAGCGUCUGGACACUUCCUCACCUGGUCUUCUUUCAGGUCCUGGCCAGCAUGGAUACAAUCAUGAGAAUGUGACUUAGUAAAUGAUUUGCCCCAAGUCAAGAUCAUUGAUAAGAGGAAAAGAAUUGAAAGUAAAUUCCUUUGAUUUCACACAAAACAAAGAGAAACUCCUCCCAUUUCAUUUUCUGGUAUGUCUAAAACAAGGAAGAACUUUAGAAAAAUAGGAUAUGGGUGAAAAUUAUAAACAAGGUUGAGAGCUUUUUGUUUUUAUUACAAUUAGGAUGACACUUCAUGAAACAUUUUACAUCAUUUUGAAAUCUAUUUCAUAUUCAUUUUUGCUUGCUUUGAAAUAUUAUUUCAAACUGUGAUUUUUUUUUUUAAUGAGGAAUACAUAAAAUCGCUUGAUGAUUGUAUAGACCUAUGGCUUGGACAUACCAUAAGUUUGUUUAACCAUUACUCAUUGAUGAACAUGGGGAUUUUUUCUGACUAUAAUAAUGCUGUGAUACCCUUCCUCAUAUAUAAAUUUCUGGCAGCAUCUCUGAUUCCUAGACUUGCAAUUUCUGAGUAAAAAGGUAUGAAUAUAUUUUAAGGCUCUUGGGUGACUUGCUAAAAAUAUUUUGUGAAAUGGUUUGAAAAAGAACAUAGGAAAAAGCAAUCAUUUGAAAACACAAAUUUUAUCUGUCAUUCUCCUGCAUAAGGUCAUUAAUAUUCCACCUACCUCUGCCUCUAAUGCCUUUCCCCUCCUUCUGCUUGGUAAUUGAUUUUCUUUUGCUGUUCAAUGAUUUCAUGAUAGAGUCAAGCAUCAGUCCAAGUAUCCAUGGAGAGCCAUGCUUCUUCUUUACCAACAAACUCACUACCUAAACGAUUGGUGUAAACUGUUUUCUCUUUAGGCUUUGAACCCCUGGAGGGCAAGGAAGGAGUCACAUUUAGUUUGUAUGCUUGGCUUCUAGCUCAGCCUGCAGCUAAGUCCUUAAAAAAUGGAUAAAAUCAUGAAUUAGCGCUCUUACUUUUCUAAAUAAACCAUACAUUCUUUCAGGGUCUCUCUAAUAACAGAUAUUGAAUCUUAUAAAAUGAUUCUGAUAAACAUUUAUGAAUAGAAUUGUUUAUAAAAACUACUUCUGUGAAGCAGAAAGAUUGAGUUAAUGUCUUUGUCACUGAUGCUCUUUGUUACAUUAAAUAUUGGUGAUUAUGGCUUGUGGCUUACUAUCUCUUUUUUAAAAUGAAGUUCUUAGCACAAAUUAGGGAUAUAGGGAGGACUGAGGGAAAAUUUUUAUGUUCAGCUCUUUUGAAAGAAGAUAUCCAGUCAAUCAUAUACUGUGACUAAGGAUUUGAAUUGUUUACUUUCUAGACACUCUCAUUCUAUUGACCUAAAAACUGGGACCCCCCUAUAUUUCCUAAGAAUUUAAUGGAGAAAAUCAAUUACUAAAGAUACUUUUAAAAUUUCAUUUCUUGGGACAAUAGGUUAUUUUCCUAGCAUUUUGCUUUUUUAAAUUUGUUUUUCUUUUUCUGGGGAAACCCAAUACAUUCAGGAAAAAGUGCUAUAUUGUUUACAAAUUUGCAAAUACUGUAAUUUAUUUCUUGCCCAAAGGAAUUUGCACUUCACACAUUUGUAAAUUGAUUCCUACCUUAGAGCUGUUAAUUAGGUUCUUGCUAUUUUUCCUUAUGGCCCAAGACCAAUACUACUCCAAAGGGGGAAAGAAGAGGAUCAGCUCCAAAAAGGCCACUGGUUUAUUUAGUUCCCAUUCCCAUUCCACCCCUCAAUCAUCCACCUCCACCACAUAAAUUAUUCUAACCAAAGUACAUUUUUCAAAAAACAAAUAUUUCACUAACAUCCAAAUUCUUUUCAGCCUUUUUAACCUGCCAUCUCAGAUUUUUCUGACUUCACCCAUUAUAAGACAGGCUACAAAUAAAAGUCCUACAGAUGUGAAGUUUGUUUGUUUGUUUGUUUGUUUGGCCUGCAGUGUCAGCUGGUUUAGUGCUUUUUAAAAAUGAACUGCUUUAAUAUGGAGAUUCCUUGGAAAUCUGGGAAUGGAACCACCAUUUGACCCAAGCUAUCCCUCUCCUCAGUCUAUACCCAAAGGACUUAAAAACAGCAUACUACAGGGACACAGCCACAUCAAUGUUUAUAGCAGCACAAUUCACAAUAGCUAAACUGUGGAGCCAACCUAGAUGCCCUUCAGUGGAUGAAUGAAUAAAAAAAAAAUGUGGCAUAUAUACACAAUGGAAUUUUACUCAGCAAUAAAAGAGAAUAAAAUUAUGGCAUUUGCAGGUAAAUGGAUGGCAUUGGAGAAGAUAAUGCUAAGUGAAGCCAGCCAAUUCCAAAAAAACAAAUGCUGAAUGUUUCCUCUGAUAUAAGGAGGCUGACUCAUAGUAGGGUAGGGAGGGGGAGCAUGGGAGGAAUAGAUGAAUUCUAGGUAGAGCAGAGGGGUGGGAGGGAAAGGGAGGCAGGGGGUUAGCAAGGAUGGUGGAAUGUGAUGAACAUCAUUAUUCAAAGUACAUGUAUGAAGACACGAAUUGGUGUCAACAUACUUUAAAUACAACCAGAGAUAUGAAAAAUUGUGCUGUAUAUGUGAAAUAAGAAUUGUAAUGCAUUCUGCUGUCAUUUAUUUUUUUAAAAAAUCAAUUUAAAAAGCAAAUAAAAUAAAAUAAAAAUGAACUGCUUUAAAAUAUUUACAAUUUAGGAGAUAUGCUUAUACCAAAAAUCUAGAUUUUUUUUUUAAAUUGUCAGAUCUAGUCACCCUGGGUUCAUAUUCCCACCUGGCAACCCUUUGUUGCUCUCAGUAUCUGCUAUUCGGUUUGGAUGUGCACUUUCUACUUUACUAUUAUCCCUGACACACCCUGGCAUUACAUUCUUGCUAUUUUAUUUGUAUUAUUUUCCCUAACCUUAGUAUGGAUUUGAGUUUGCUACUUCUAUAAACUUUCCCCAGUAUCUAAAUUACAUAUCUGUUCAUAUUUAUUCAUAAUUUUAUCAUAGAACAUAAAUUAAAAAUGAAUUUGUCGUCUCUUGACCAUUGCAAAAGUUGAAGAAAGGGGUCAAGUGAAAGGAACAUCAUGGUGUAUGAUGAUGGCAGGUGCCCUGAUUUUAGGUAUACACAGUAUGUAUAUCAGAAUUGCCAGGACAGGGCCUACUAUUCUUUAUGCUGCUAUCCCCAUUCCUGAUCCUAACCCUGUCCACAUGCCCAUUCCAAUUGUUGCUUUAAAAGAAAGAACCAUAGGGAAUGGAUGUGGCAAUAGUGGAAGGUCAAGGAAACCAUGGCAGGUGCAUUGAGGAUAUUUUUUUUUUUUGAUGGGCAGUAUCACAUAGAAGCUAAGAGCCCAGACUUUGGGGUCAGAGAUGAAUCAAAUACUUACUUUGCCCCUUACUUACUUAAAAUGACUAAAUAUCUCUAUACUUAAAUUUCUUCAACUGCAAGAUAAGAGUCAUGCUACAUAUCUCAAAGGGUGAUUGUAAAGACAGAAUAAUAUAAUGAAUUGUAAUGCUUGGCAAAGUGACUGUAACACUGUAAGCACUCAAUAAAUGUUUGCUGCAAGCUGCCACAAAACAAAGAAUGUCAUGCUUUCCCCACACUGUGUGAACUCAGUCUGUAUGCUUCACCAUUUAAAAAAAAUAUUUUUUAGUUGGAGGUGGACACAAUACCUUUAUUUAUUUUUAAAUGGUUCUGAGGAUCAAAGGACCCAGUGCCUCACAUGUACUAGACAAGUGCUCUAUCACUAAGCCAUAACUCUAGCCUUGCUUCACCUUUUUGUUUCAACUUUCAUUAUCUGAAAAAUGAGGAUAAUAUGAUUAGCUUAGUCAUGAAAUUGUUUUGAAGAUUGAGUUCUAUGUAAGCACUUUAAAACAACCACUAGCAUAUAAGAAAUGCUAUAAGUCCUAUUAUUAUAAACUGUCAUCAGGAGAUUUUUUUACUUGCCUUUUUUUUCAUUAAAGGUCUUUGACUUUCAUGAUACUUAUUCUCAAAAGUAAAACAAUAUAGGGUAAUAACAGCAAUGGAGAGGAAGUCAGAAAGCCUGGAGUUUGUACAGUGCUGCUAUGAACUAUAUGAUACUGGCCUUCAGUUUUCUUGAAAUGUGAAGAGAAAUCUUCUAAAGAUGAAGGGAUAAUUAAGUUGGAUCAGGGACAAAUCCAGGUUCUGUGGGGACUUACAUACUAUGGGAUCUUCUUUGAGAAAAGAAUUUAAUAUUGUAGAUGUAAAAUUAAUUAUGAAAGUAAAUAUUUAUUUUAAAUCAGUAACAAAAUCAUAGUUAAAAAGCUGAAAAUACCAUACAAAUCACAAAAUUGGAUUAAUAAGAAAAUGUUAUUAACUGCCUGGCACAACCCUAAAUUACUUACUUUACUACAUCUUUGGAGCUGAAUAGUCUGAUUUCCUUUUCAUAUGAUAAUAAUUUUUUGCUAUAUUAUCUUUUUUAGAGAGAAUGGAAAGAUAUCCAGUCUUUCCACUAGCAAAUACUCUCAGUACUGUGUGUCCUGGGACACAUAUUUAUCACGAAAUGUGAAUAAUCCUGCACUUGUGACAUGAUGCUUGGCCUAGUGCAUAGUGGAAAUAUUACUUGAACCCAUUCUUCCAUAGGGACUAACUAGAAAUAACCAUCAUACUCUGAAAUGACUGCGAUCCACAUAAAUAUCGCUCACUCUAACAAGAUAAACUUAUGCUCAUCUCAACCUCCCCUUAACCAGAUCAAAAAUAUGACUACAGCUUCUCCAGUGCCUCCAGCAUGAGGAAAAAGAUGAAAAUCAGAAUACAAAGAAGCUGUGGUCUUUACCAACAUAUCAUUUUUACCUACAAAAGUUCUCAAAUUAUCUUUAAAUUAUAAACAUACAACAUACAACAAUGGUAAAAGAGUUUACUUUUUAAAAUUUGACUUUGUGAAUACAUUGCUUGGACCUCUCCCAGGGCCAUGAAAGGAGUCCAUGGUAGUGAUGAACCCUAACGUUGAAACUUCACUGAAUUCAUGAUUAAACCAGAUCUGAGUUAAGAUUUUUAAAGAGCUCCUUGGACUUUUCAAAAUAUAAUUUUGAACUAUAAUUCUGUGAAUUUGUUUUGUCUUAGUAUUUCCAUGAGAAGCUAGUGUAAACAGAAGAAAUGGGAGAAUUUCUUCAAGUAGGCAGAGAGAAAGGAAAAAGGAGUCUAUUCUCCAGACUCCCUACAAGUGUGUUGGUUUUCCUUUGUUUGCUGAGGGAUUUUCCCUCAUUACCUCCUUGAUGUUCUGCAUUUACUGUCCCAAGUUUUCAAUGUCUUUUGAGACAGAAAUAUUUUGUAUGUCUCACAGAAAGAUAACCAUGAAAUACACAGUCUAGGUUUUAGAAAAGGAGAACUGUAGAAUAAAAUGGAAAAAUCCACAUGAGAAUAAGGAAGCUUGGAGUAAAGGCUAGUUAACGGGAGUAUGGAGGGAUUAUAAUUUGUUGAAUUAGAAGUCUUAUUCUGUUGUAAGGUAUUUGCAGGGAACCAACACAUAGGACUGAAGAGGGAUUGGAGGGAACCCCUAGAGGGGAAUAGUCUGAAUGUCACCUUUCAGAUCCUACAAAUGUGGCUAUGGCACAUCCAGACUUUGAGCAUCUUCAGCAGUGAGUCUUAUUCAUCUGAGUUUUUCCACUACUUGGAAUCUGAGAGGUGUUCAAAAGGCUCAUUGGAUGAAAUGAUUGAACGUACUAGAGUUUGUUAACUAGAAAUCAAUUGAACAUAUCAUUUUUACCUACAAAAAGUUCUCAAAUUAUCUUUAAAUUAUAAACAUACUUUCAUGAAAAGGUAAAAUUGAACUUCUUAGCAAGAAGAAAAUCUCUGUAAUACCAAAUGAUAACAACAAAGAUAACACUUCAAAGAUAAAAUUUUGGCUUCAGUUGAUAUAUUCCUGUAUCACCUGAAAGCUUGGAAUCAACAGCAAUGUGAGAUUCUAGAAGGCUGCCAGGUUGGAAGAGUAUACCUUGAGAUAUAUGCUGUCAAGAUACUCCUUAAUUCACUCAUUAUAAGACAAGCUUCUAAUCUCAUAGUGAGUCUUUGCAUUGGUAUAAAGGAUAAAUAGAAUAUGGAGAAUAGAGAAAAAAAGAGAUUAUUAGCAAAGAACUCAGAAAGAUCUUUUGAACAUGUUUGUCUAUAACUGGAUGCCUUCCAGUGGUAGUGUUGGCGAUAUGGGGCCGAAUUCUUGCUGUGUUUCAGUACAAUUUACAGUGUCAACAGGAAGAUAGGAUUAGCCCCUAUAAACACUGGAGAACAAUACAGAACAGCAUAUGAUGCAAUCACCUCUUAAUUCCAUGUUAAUUACUCAACUCAUUAUUGCAUUAAUGCAUUUGUUCAUUCAGCAUAUGUUUAUGUAGUGCUUACCAUGUGCCAGACACUUGGCUAAUCAGAGUGGUGAGCAUGAGAGUCAGAAUCUAAAACUGCCAAGAAAAUGGGCUCUAAACAAGUAAUGCCCCUAUGUAAUGAUUGUUAUAGUAGAGAAAACACAGGCAGGCAAUACCCAGCAAGGAACUCUAACCAGGUCUAGGCUUCCCAGACAAAGUGAAAUGUAUACCCAACUAGUAUGCAUACCCUCCCUAGUUUUCAACAGUAACUCUCAGGUAUUACAUCUAAGAGGACUCCUCUCCUCUUGCAAUUCUCACCUUAAUGCUUCAAUUUCCCCUUUUAUUAUAGUUCACGCUCCAUUUACAAAACUCCUAUAAAUCUUGGCUACAGUAUGAGAUCCCUCAUUGUUUUUCCUAAGAGCACUACCCCUAUUAAAACUUCACUAGAAUGUUAACUUCCUUUUCCUGAUUAAAGAAUUAAUAUUCUUUAUUAAUUUUAGCUUUAUUGUCUCACAUUUAGUAUUUUACACUUAACCUACCACUCUUCUGAGUUCCUUUUGUGUAUUGCAAGUUAUAUGUAUGCACUCAAAACUAUAAAGUUCUUGAAAAUAGAACCCUUAUAACUCUAAUCUGUGUUCUCUAAUCCCUGUAAUACCCAUGGUGUUGAUAAUCAUCAUAUAUAGAGUAAUAGAAGCAGCCACUUCCAUUUACUGAGUAUUUACUACAUGUCAAUCAUGCAGUAGCCUACAUACAUUAUCUUGCCUACUAUUUAUAAAACCUUUAUCAAGUGGUUAUAUAAUCUGCAUUUUUCAUGAUUCAAAGGGAUGAAAGUUUGUCAAAGUCACACAGUUUUUCAAAGCAGAGCUGUGAUUUGAACCCAGAUUUUCUUCAUAUAAUGUGCAUUUACAGUGUUAUAUGAUUCCACCUUGGCAUUAUUCAGUCAUUAUUAUAAUAUUCUUUGAAUAAAUUCUCUGUGUUAGGUUGCUGAACUGUCAGGUUAAUUGACUCAGAGCUCCCAUAUAUUCACCCAAUAUAGUUUGGUCACCUCUGUGAAUUGGAUUUCUAUUGAAAUGAAUUCUAUGGGAUCAAGUAAAGAAGUAUUCAUUAUCCCUAUUUUAAUAUGUUAUUUCCCACUAGUAUGUUACUCUAACAUAAAGCAAAUAGGUGAUCUUUACAUAAGGAAAAGUAUGUUCAUUGGCACUCUAAGUUAAAAUUCCAAAUGUUUGAGAUAAAAGCCUGAAGACUUUUAGGCACUUGACUACUCAUGGAGAUAAAGUUGAUAAAGUUGUGGGAAAGGUGCUUUUGUUAUUUUCACAUGCUAUAUCAAGGCAAAUCCAGAUCUAUUGCAACUAACUCAAUUUGCUAAUAAACUUGUUCCCACAUAAUCUGCCAGCACAUUUGAAAUGUUUAUGUCAACUUCACACCAUCUCUAUCCUUCUCUAAGGAAGUCUUUAAGCUGGUGGCCUCAUUCUGCACAUACUCAAUAUCAUCCUCUAUAAAAUGUGGUUGCACCUUGUCUAAGAUGAGCAAACCAAGGGGUAGAUAUUUGACCUGCAGAACCAUUCUUUGGCCUGGCCAUUCUUUGUAUGGAAUAGUUUAAAAUGAUAGUCUGAACCAAUCAGAUCCCUUUCUUGGAAAAUCAACACUGAUAAACUAAAUACUAAGCCAGUUGACAGCAAAGUCAGAUUGUCACAGGAUGUUAUAACCAUACGUGAACUAAACCUAUGCAGAAACAGAUCAGAGAGUAAAGAGCUGGCAGGGGAAGAAGGGUGAGGCAAGGCAUAGAAAGAUGGCAAAGACAUGAAGACUCCAGUACUUAGAAUUGCCUUACAUUUUGGUGUGUUCCACUUCUAGUCCCUGUGUAUCCUUGUAAUAAUUCCCUUCACCCAACCUAAUCUCCUCCCACUGCUAAUUUUUGAAGUAACUAAAUGUACCUGGGACCCUUUCAACCAAAAGAAACUGGCCAAAACAGUCUUCCUUCUUUUUCAUUAUUGGGCACUUAUAAAUAUGAAAUAUUACUCUUAGUUCUCAUUAGUAAAUGGAUGUGAAAGUAAGACACUCUGAAAGAAAGAACUAGAACUCACUGGGCCAGAAAGCCCCAUGUAAGUUUUUGCACAGAAAAUAUUCUUACAGCCUAUGUUUCAUGAAGAAAAUCUGCUCUGCUGAAACCUCAAAUUAUAGAACCUCUUUUUGUUAUUCAUUAGAGAAGAGUGAUCUGUAAUCUUUUACUUAAAUUGCUUCUCCUCUUCAGAGUUUAUACGAAAGUAAUUCUAAUAUGUGUAUGCUAUCAAUUGCCUCAAAAGAAAACUUGGAAAGGUAAAAGUGUUCUCCCUUCCCACUCAUUAUCCUUCAUUCAGACUUAAUACCUGCAGGCCCAGUUUAAUAAUUUUCUAGAAUUUAUGAACCAAAAAGAUUUAAAAAAAAAAAAAAGUGAAAGCAAAAUUUUCCAAGAAUUAAGUAGUCAAGAAAAAAAGAUAAAGUGAAUGAGGACAGUUUUCUGUCAGGAGAUAGGUUAAAGAUCACUGUGAUGUCUCUGUGGGGUACCAAGGGGAUCUAUCAGGUAUAUACUAGGAAGUCAUUUUGUUUUGGAAAUACAAACAUGUGUAAACAUUUUCCUUUGACCCAAUUUUCCAGAUGAGGAAUGUGCCUUAACAGCUAACUGAUAUGUUUCUAUAGAACUAAUCACUAGCUUUAGAGGAGCGAGUCUUAGCCAAUCUUAGUAGAUCUGGAAUUUUCUUGGUUUCCAUUCCUGUAUACCAUAUUCCUGGUCUCUGCUGGAGCCACACUCUUAAUCACUCUGUCUCUCUCUUGUUUAUACUAGGCUCACUUUCAUAGUUAACUCUUGCAACCCUUGAACCCAUUUGCUAUCUCCUAGGUGAAAUUGUUCUUAUGAUUUGCUAAGCCCGUGGAAGAUAAAGGAGGUACUUGUCUUGCCCCAUGAGCUCAUCUUUGCAGGAAUGGUGAAGAAAAGCAAAAGGCCUCCCUGGGCAAUACUAGAAGGGCUGUGAUUGUGCUGGCCUUGAUGUUGAGAAAAUGGGCUGCUCUUUCUGUAUAUACAAGACUUGUCACUUUGUACUUUGUUUCUUUGUGAAGAUAUGAACAUCUAGAGAUUAAGGUCUAUGGGGAGCUAGAAUGUCUAGGAAUGGAAGCAGAUGGAAACAGUUUCAUAUUAUACACAUAAAUUUAACUGUGACCUGAGAUGGAUUGUCCAGUACUUCUAUAAAGGCAAAAUUGAAUUUUUUUGUGGCUGUUUUCUGCCGUCAUAUUGUAUAAUCUAGUCACUAUUCAAAAACUCUUCAAACUUCAGUUUUUAGUACUUAUUUCAUAGAAUUUUGUGAGGAUUAAAUGCAAAGAACAAGUAAAGGGCUUAGAACAGUGUCUCUCCUAUUAUGAGUGUUAGCUACAUUUAUUAUUUUAAAAAUUCAUAUAAUAAUAAUGUAUCUUCUUCAGUAGUGAUUGAAACUUACUUAAAUUUUAAUGUCCCUGAUUUUAGGUUCCCUGAUACGUUUACCAAGGGUAGGUUGUUUUGAUUUAAAAGUCCUCAAGUGCUUGAUAACAUGCAGGGUUUAUCAUUAAACAUUUUUAUUGCAUGUGUAUUUGCAAAGUUCAUUUUGGUCUUCUAUUAGUCUACCCAAUCACCUUCUAAGAGAAAACUUAGUGUCAGAAUACUGUUGAAUAAUGAUGAGGCUAAGGAUGUGGAAAAUUAAAUGACAAGAAUGCAUCUUCCAUUCAGACCUCUCAAGGAAGAUGUCUAGAGUUUGGGUUUGCAUGUGUCUACAGAUAAGUGUAUGUGAGCAUCCAGUGUGAGUAUAUAACAUUUAUGAGUCCUGUUAUCAACAUUUUUUUCCUAAGUUAAAAUAGGAAUCAUUCUUUAAGCUUUUGGAUAAAGAAUUUCAGUUUACCAGGUAAUGGAAAGGAAAUGUUAUUACCACUUAAGGGCUGGAACUCUGAGGUAGAGUGUUUUGGAAUAAUUCAAGAUUGCUUACUAGUCACAGCUAAUGAUUCCAGUUUUACUCUGCAGGAGGCAACUACCAUUUGCAAUGUGAACAACAUCAAAAGGAUAGUAUGGGGGCUGGGGCUGGGGCUUAGUGAGGCACUGAGGCACAUGUGAGACACUGCACUGGGUUCAAUCCUCAGCACCACAUAAAAAUAAAAUCAAGGUAUUGUGUCCACCUACAACUAAAAUACCCCUUAUUACUCUGGAAAGAGCCUAACCAUAUUAUAAAUAGGCCUGGCUUUUUUAAAGAUAGGGCUGGGCUGAGAGGGUUCUCUGGUUGGUAUAAGCAGUAGGUAUGGAAAGCCUACACCAUCUGCCAUGGGUUCUGCCUUCUUCUGUUUAUAGAAGUUUAUUUGUGAGUCUGUAUUGGUCAUCAAGCAAAUGCCUUAUUUGUUUCCUGAUUGUUUAUAAAACCAAGAAGCCAGGCGACAGGAUAUUUAUACUGUUGUUUAUCAAAGCAUUCACUGUGAGAAGAGACAAGCAAUUCAUCUGCCAAAAAUAUUGUGGUCUUUGAAUUAUGAGGGCACAUGUGUAGGGUCACUGCAUUACUAGGUCGUAAAUAAAUGAUUUUGCUCUCUUAAACUAAUGAUGCACCUCAUUUAGGUUGACUUCUCUGUCCUCAGACUUAUAAGCACAAUUUCUGCCUUUCACUUACAGCUUUUUAGCCCAUCAAGCAGUUGCUUCUCCACAUCCUUAUUCAGAACUUCAACAUCAUUUGCGCCCCUUCUAGAGUGAGAUCGGGUGAAUUCCAGAGCUAAUCAGACUGUGUCAUCCCUGCUUCUGGGUUUCCAUGAGCAGUUUCAACAAUGUUUCGUGAUUACAAGACCUUUUAAUGUCUCCCCCAUUUCACCCUAUCACUUAUCUGAUCUACUUCUAAUUUUUCAUGUUCCAGGCUUAUAUUCCUUUUAUUAAUCUGCUUCUUUCUUCAUCAUCUGCCCUACCUCUGCCACUUUGUAACUGCAGCAAACUACUAAACUCCAGAACUUGGGCUCUGUUGUUCAAAUUCUCAAAAGUCAUCCAAAUUAUUCUGGUAGCAAAGUAGAAGAGCUUAAAAAUAUUUUUAAGCUUAGAAAGACUCACCUAAACAUGGCCUGCUUGCUACCUGUAGUCACACUCCUGUCUCGGGGGAAGUUAUGGGUGGGAUUUUACCUGAACAUUCUUUGGACAUUCUGUGUUUGGUGCUGCCCACAUUGAAUUAGCUAUUUUUAAAACAAGUGUCCUUGAGGGGUAGUAAUGGAAAUACUUGGAGUUUACCUCUAGCUUUGUCCAGGAACAAAAUCUCAACCCCAGCCACAUUCUUUAGAAAGAAAAGACCAUUUUCACUGUUAGACUGUAAGCUCCCUGGGGGGACAUAUCUCUAGGAUCUGUUCAUUCGUGUAUACCAAAUGCCAUGGAAUGGAGCCUUUUCCAUUGUAUGUAUUCAGUACCUCUUUGUUCGUUUGAAUUUCUAUCUGAUGAAGGUAUUAGUCUAGUAUUGCAUUGCAAUAAGGCUCUUUUCCAUUAAAUUGAGGACUAUAUUCUCUCUUUUUCCCAGUGUCAAAUAGGUAUGACUGAGUAAACUUUAAUAUAGCAAUUAAAAUACACAGGAGAAAAAGAUCAUUUUAUCCAUCAAAGUGCUUUGCAUAUACAUAGAUUUCUGAGGAUUAUAAACAUAUCUCAGAGACCAGGAUUAGUGGCAAUGUAGAAAUAUGCCAAAAUUUAAGAGAUAUCUCAAACAUGAAGGAUAGUGGAUAAAGAGAAAAUUUAUGUUUUAAAAAGUUAUAGAAAUACAAAAUUGAUGAGUUCCCUGUAUAUCUGCACAUCAAGUAUUUUCCGAGGAUCUUAUUACGUUACUCCUAAACAAUUUUUUAAAUGAAAUAAAGGAUUUAGUUUGGUAUCUUACUAGAUCCUUCACAAAUUUAAAAAUUAUGGUAUUAUGAUUAUAGAUGAUUGAAAAUUAUAGAAAUAAAACUGAAGACUUCAUUCUCUUUUUGGAAUGGGAUUACUGUGGAACAGAGUCUUGACCUAAAGUUGAUGGUUUUACUACCUUGUAUAUUUGAGUUUCCUAAAUCUGUGCAUAAACAUUUUGUAUAUGUGCAUUUUUUUUCCAUGAGGAACAAGGAUCCAUAGUUUUAAUCAAAUUCCCAAGGUAGUUAGAGACCCCAAAACUUUAUAAAACUAUGGGAUUAUAGUAUUUUGUCUUUCUACAAGAUGUAGCAGAACUCUUGUGUGUCAGUUUUAUGCUAAACAUGUAUAUGCAUUAACUAUUUCACCCUAACUUCAUAAUAUUAUAAGUAAGGAAGAUUUCCAAAGUUGUACAGUUGAUAAGAGAUAGAGCUGGAAUACCAGCCCAGGCAGAACCAAAAGACCCUGCUUUUAUUCAUUACAUAGGACUACCUUUUGGGUAGAGAGAACAUAUGUCAAAAACCAGAGCCUUCUCAGUCUAAGCUAUCAUUUCCCCUUAAAUCAUCCUUUAUAUGGUAACUGCUUCCUAAGCUUCCUAAAGAUUUAGCACACUCAAGCAGCCCUCCUCAAAGUAACUAGCCUUCUAAGGCACAGAAGCCACUCUCUCCAGACUGCUCACCUCAGUUUUUUUCCAUUGUACAGCUAGGCUGCAGUAAGCAACAUUUUAUCUUAACUGUCUAUUCUAGACUCAAGUCUGCCCACAUGGCACAAAUGAACAACCCAUACAUUUGGAGAGUCUCCAAAAAAUCCAUCCCAAGCACUGAAUGAUCCUGGCUCAGUUCCAAAAUUUUACUAACCUUCCACAAAUUGUGAUUCCAGACACGUUUAUACCUUGGCCCCCAGGAUAAUGGAAGCCACAAAAGAGGCAGAAAUUAAAAUGUCAGUCCAGCUGGGCCCACAAUGUGGGCCAGCAAUUACAAUGGAACCCAUUGCCUCUUAGGUCACCUGAGGGUAGCACAUCUGUGCUUUCUGCAAAAGGAGUAACAAAGUUAUCCACAGCAAUUUUCUAGAUUUAAAAAAAAAAACUCUGUAAAUACAGUGCACUAUUUAUCAACAACAACCAAGACUUUAAAAAGCAAUAGGAACACAUUUAAAAAAAAAAUCAGGUGAAAAGCAGAAAUCAGAAUUGUGGUAAGCCAGGUUUCCACCAUUAUUUAGGAGCAAAAUAAACUGAAUAUAUGGCCAAGUCUGGAGAGGGAAGUAAGAGAAAGCAUUUAUGUUCUAAGAAAAGAAUGAUAAUCACCUUCUCAUUUAGCUCAAAUUCUGGGAGAAGGAGUAGCAAGUCCUGUCACUGCAGACAAAAAAAAAAGAAAAGAAAAAGAAAAACAUAUGCAUAUAUAUCUGCAGCAAAGAUAAUACCUGAGAGAUCAUAACUUUGUGGGAAUGUGAAAAAAAAUUGAAGCAGCAACCCAAGAAAAAUAAGUGAAACAGAGGACCCAAGUCAGAACCAUGAGUAACAAAAGGGAUGGAAUAGCAUGGGAAUCAUGACACUGCUAAUCUCCUCACUUUCUCCCCUUUUUUAGCACUGGGGUACUGGGGAUUAAACUCAGGGGCACUCAACCACUGAGCCACAUCCCCAGCCCUAUUUUUUUUUUAAAAGAGAGAGAGAGAGGAGAGAGAGAGAGAGAGAGAGAGAGAGAAUUUUAAUAUUUAUUUUUUAGUUUUUGGCAGACACAACAUCUUUGUUUGUACGUGGUGCUGAGGAUCGAACCCGGGCCGCACACACACCAGGCAAGCGCGCUACCUCUUGAGCCACAUCCCCAGCCCAAGCCACAUCCCCAGCCCCCCAGCCCUAUUUUGUAUUUUAUUUAGAGACAGGGACCCACUGAGUUGCUUAACACCUUGCUGUUGCUGAGGCUGGUUUUGAACUAACAAGUCUCCCAUGCCAGUGGGAUUACAGGCCUGCACCAGUACACCCUGCUCCCUUUCUCCUAUUUUAUUCCUUACAGCUCCAGCCAUUGAUGAGUGUCACUCAUUUGACCUGAAUCAUUGGUUAUGUUUUUUGUGCCUCUGCAGGUCCUGAUUUCAGUGUGAGUGUUGUAAUGUCAUAUUUAUCUCUUUGUUAGGUUUGAAAUUGAGACUCCAAGCAAGCAGAUUCUUUUCUUCUGGUAUGUAUGCCAGUGGGGGAAAUGGAUGGUACUCCAGCAAAAAUAACCUUCCUCCCAAUCUGCUUUAUAACUCGAAGAGACACCUAGUCAAGUAAAUGAAGAAAACUGAUAUUUAAUCAUAAAGGAGCUUAAUUAAACUGUUUCAUUUUAUCCUUUUAUAUCUCCAUACAAUAAAAUGGAUAUAGUUUUCUUCAUUAUAGUAUUUGUCACCUGCUUUGUGAUUGUUUUUUUUACUUGGCUUCCUUCUGCAUAAGAUUAUGGGCUUUGCAAGGAGAGUUUUCUUCAUUGUUCUAUCCUUAAUUGAAUAAUUUUUAAGAAUAAAUUAAUAAAUAAAGUCAGCAUCAAAAAGUCUUCUAGUCUGUGUGAUAGGAAUAGUGAAUUAUUAUCAGGUUAGUAAAAUGUGGGUUGUGUUUCUUGGGAGUAUAUAAUAAACAGUAGUUGUAAGCUGAAUUUACAUUAUAUGUAAAUGCAAUGUUGAAUCUUUGUUGUAAGUUUUGGAAUAAGAACAAUUGUUUAGGUCUGUGGUGAAUAACUAUUAUUUUUGUCAUCCAGCUAUCAUUUUUCAUUUGGGUAACUCUUGGCAGUUGGGGUCUGGGAAACUGCUCUCUCUCAACCAGGCCCUUGUCUUCUUGCAGUAGGAGCCUCCUUCCCCAGGUAUGGUGGGUCCAACGUUGGUAUGUGAUACUCUGUUCCCUCAGGAAACUGCCUUUCUCAGGACCACAAAGGUUUAUUUAGCCACAGUCCCAGCUGGUCCUAUCAGAGCACUUCUGGAACAGGAGGCUGUUUUGUCUUUACUCUGGGAAGAAAUGAAUUAGAUCUGUGAGAUCCCUCCAUGGGCAGCCACACAGAUGGGAACUGGGGAUAGAAAGGGAAAGGGGAGGGUUAUUUUGAUACCUUUAGGAGCCAAUAAGUCACCAACAUCUUAGUUUUUUCUCUCAUUUGCCACAAAAUUUUUACUAUCUAGUUCCGAGAUGGCAUUGUUAGUUUUUUAUAUUCUUAAAAGAAAAGGAUCAUUUUAGAAGGCUCGAAGAGAAAGUAAAAUUUGGUAAGUUCUUGGUCUUGUUAGGAAAUUCGUUAUUUUAUUGGACUGAAAUCUUCUGCCCUAGAUAUAGUAUUCUAGUUUCUGGAACUACAGAUAAUUCACAUGCAUGUAAUCUCUCUUCAACCUGACAGCUCCAUAUGGAGAGAGCAAUUAUGACUCAUUUGUUCAUUCUUUCAUUCAAUAAAUAUUUAUUGAGUACUUACUAUGUGCAUGCACAUCUUUCAUUCAGGUUAUAUAUUUAGACUGUCUUUGAACUGUUUUUCAUAUCACAGGGAUUCUAGGCCAAUAUUGCUGUUUGUUCUUUAGAACUUCCCUGUGUCAAGUCAUCUAAUAUUGCUAUUCCUUCUUUAGAUUCCACUGUGUCAAAUCAUCCCCUUGAAAAUAUGGUAUCUGGAGCAGAAUAUGAUGGCCUUGUCUCAUUUAUGUUGCAAUAUUUUAAGUGCCAACCAAGUGCUAGGCCCAAAGGAAACAACAAUGAACUAGACACAGCGUUGUGCUCAGAGGACUCCCUGACCAGAGGGAAGCUGCUGUGUGAAUAAACUAGGACAGCACAGGGGGCUAUAGCAAAAUGCAGAAAAGGGAACUGACAGUCUGUCUAUAGAGCGGAAUCCCUAAAGUGCUUUUGAUGCUGAGAAGGUGAGCUAGGAGAGGAGGGUAGACCUUUGACAGGUGGCUGGGGUUGGGAGAGGUUAUUCUAGGGAGAGUUGGAGGCCUGAGCAAAGCAAAAUGGAAUAAAGAUGGAAUAGAAUAGCUUAGUGAGUACAAGGUCCUACAAACGCUUUGGCAGGAGAGGGGGAUGUGGGAGGGAGAUAUAAAAGAGGUGAGACUAGAAAAGUCAUCAGGGAUAUAAGCUCAUGAUAGAGCCUUGAAUGCCUCACUAAGGAGAUGGGUUUUUUUUUCCAUGAAGUGACAUGGAGUCUCUGAAGGUUUUGAAGAAAGGAGAUGACAUGAUUACAUUUCCAUUUUAGAAAGACAUUUUGAAGAUGUAUGAUCUGGGGGAUGGACCUCUAGAAAACCACGUCAGGAAAACAAGCUGGGGGACUAGAUUGGGUGGGAGGUGAGGAAGAAGAUGGGUUAAAGCCAGUGAGGAUAUGCAGGCAGGCUGUGCUGCAGACCUUUGCUGCUCAAAGUGGGUGAGAGGACAGGGGGCAUCAGCAGUCCCUGUAAGCUUGUAAAAAAAAAAAAAAUGCAGGAUUUAAGGCUUUACACUAGGCCUACCCAAUCAGAAUCUGCAGGUUAACAAGAUCCCUAGGUCUUUCACAAGCACAUUAAAGUUGGAGGGACACUGACAUAGCUCCUCAGCAUACAGUGAUGAAGACACGAGACAGCUUAGGUCCCUGCCCUUGUGGGGUCACACCCCAGCAGGGAGAUAGAUUUAAAACAAUAAUUCCACAGCUGACAUUGAAUGAUGGCUGUGAUUAGUGCCAGAAAGGUGAAACAUAGGGAACUGGGCAAGCAUCCAAUUGAGGGACCCACCCUGGGUCUGUGGGUUCAGGGAAGGUUUCCAUGAGGUAAGUUUAAACUGACAAGCAGCAGUGAACCAGAUAAAGCAAGUAUUGAGUAUGGGAUGUGGGGUGUGUGUGUGUGUGUGUGUGUGUAAGUGUAAGAAUCUUCCAUGCAAAUACCAGUGUCUUAGGGUUAACAGAAAGAGCCAGAAGAAGCAGUAUGUGAGCUGAGGAGUAUAUGGAGUGGGGCGAGAGGUCAGGCAGGGGAUCAGGUCCAGCCUUCCUAUCAUGCAAAAGAGAUUUGAUUUUAUCUUCAGAAGGAAAUGGGAGGAGAAAGCCCAGAGCAGUAUCGGGAAGCCCACACAGAAGAGAACUGACAUAGCCUUCUCUGAGGGUUCUGAGCACAGCCCCUUCAUUAUGGAGACUAUUGCUUUAGGUGUUUUAGUUUUGACUUUUAGUUUUCACACAGUUUAAGAAUGACUUGUUGAACAUGGUCUCUGUACUAGGCCUUCUGUGAACAAGGGGGAGAUAUUAAAAUAUGUGAGAUGCAAUCCCCACCUUUAAAGAUAUUCCAGUUUAGUAAAGACAUUCUGCUCCAUUAAAGAAACUCAUACAUAAUAAAACCAGGAGAACUUCCAAUUAGUUAAUCAUCGACUAUGUCUACUCACCCAGACUGCUUCAGAGACAGUUUUCCCACCUCCUGUUCUGAUAUACAGUGUUUGAUUUUUUUAAAUUUUUAAAAGUUGUCAAUGGACCUUUAUUUUAUUUAUUGAUACAUGGUGCUGAGAAUCAAACCCAGUGCCUCACACAUGCUAGGCAAGCACUCUACCACUGAGCCACAGACCCAGCCCUUGAUUUUUUUUAGUACAAAAUUUUACAUUUUUCUUGGUUUCAACUAUCCUCCCAAACUGCCCUAUCUUUUUAAAUCUUGCUUCAGUCAUCAGUUUAUUAGCUCUCUCUUUCAACUCUCACCUAUAUGUAGAUCUGAUGAGCAUGUCUUCUUUUUGUUAGUUUAAGGCCCUACUUAAAAAAAAUGUUGACAGUUCUCAGGGGCCCCUUAAUCCCCUUAGCUUGGCAGUAGUAGAAAUUCCCUUCCAGGGAAUGAUUAGUCAAUAUUGGUUAGUGCCAUAUGGCAUUUUUUUUUUCUGAAACAUGGUUCCCUAUCUUGUUGAUAGAGAUAAAUGCCCUAUUUAUGGGUACCCACCACACCUGUGAAUACCUACUUACUUCACAGUACUUGUGACAUUACAUUUUAAUUUUUCUAUAUUGCUAUUGGUAAGGGAGUGCUCUUUUACUUAUUUGUGUAUUGCCAACACUGAGCACAGUACAUUUCAUAUGAUGGGCAUUCAAUAAGCAUUUGUUCAGUAACUUAACCUGCAUAACUUUUAUAGACGUGAAGAAAUUGUGUAAAACAGACAAUUUGAUAUAAUUUGAGGACUGAAAUAUAAAAUUUAUCCCUGCACAUGGUUCCCAGGUCUGUGGACAGUUCAGCUCUAUGUAAGUGAGAAAUUGGGGCUCAAGUUGAUUUCUCAGAUUGGCUCCACAGUAUUAUAUACUUUGCUUUCUGGAGUAUUUCUGACAUUUUGUAGAAAUUUUAGCCUCUUUGGUUUAUCCCAGAGGUUCUACAAGUAAUGCAGUGAAAUCAAGAGUAAAGAGAUGUGUAACUGCUCAUAUACAUGACUGAUCCCCAAUUUCAUGGAGAGGAAGUGUCAAAAGGGCCUGGAUUUUGCUAGUAGAACUCUGGUUAACAGGUAUACAGAACAUAAUAAUAUGGGUAAACUGUCAAAAUAAUAAAUAUCCUCCGUUUUUGUGUUAAUCAUCUUAAGGUGUUUGUAGAUUUUCUUUUUGUCCUGGCAAGUCUCACUGUUCUCUUGAUUAAUUAAAUUAUGGAUAUCACAGACACUUAUUUUUAAAAUUUACUUUCAUUAAUUCCUCACUGCCUUGAUUUUAUUUUUUCCUCUUACUAUAUCUGGUUUGGCAAAAAAUACUUGAUAAUAUCAGUUGGGACUUUUCUGCAUUCUACAUCCCAUUCCUGUAUUAUGGAUUUCAUAGGCAUGGGCCAAUUCAAUCCUCGUCAGUGAGAGACAGGAGUACUAUUCUUCUUAGUUUAUAAAAAAUGAAAUGGACAGGGGGCGGUUAAAUCAGUCAUAUAAUUGUUUCCAUCCCUCUUGCCAGUAUGGUGGCAUGUUGCAGAGCUGAGGUUUGAAUGAUACCUGAUUCUAGAGCCUGAACUCAGCAUACACAAGUCUGCAGAGGGCCAAAGACAUAGGAUGCCACGUUGAAACUACCUUUAGAGAUUAUCUAGCUCAGAACAUGAUGCAUGCUUGUGGAUUUGAUUGGCUCUGUCACUUUCUGGGCAAAAUGAAACCCCCAUUGGAGACCAAAAGGCAUGUAGAAGAGAGGGUUAGAAGAAGGCGUGGGUUAAAUCUAAUCCCAGACUCCCAGGAGAGGGUUUGCAUUUCUGGAGCUUUGGAAUUGUAUGGAUAUUCUGCAAAAUUUCUUUCUUUUCUUUUUUUUUUUUCUUUUUCACCUUUUAAAAAUAAACUUUUAUUCUACAAACUUUUUAAACCUACAUUGAUUGAUAUGUUUUCUCAUCAAUAAAAUACUGAAUAAGUAAGAUUGCCAUCUCAUUUUAGCUUUAACUGCCACCAGUUAGCUAUGUGACCAUAAGGUUUUUUGUUUUGUUUAACAUUUACUGAGUGCUCUGUGCCUUUUUUAGAGAAAUACAUUUCAGGCAAGAAAGGCAACAAGAGCACACAUGUGCUGUUCCACUGAGCAGAGGGGACAGUGGGAUAUGGGGACUGCCCAGGUUCACUCUGGAGAGUCAAUGAGACAAAAAUUCUAUGUUUUGAUAUGGGAAAACUGCUUGUUACUUUAACACAGAAAGAAAAACAAAAAGCUGUAAAUUUCUAUUUUCAUAGGCAGUGAAAAUGUGAAGAUCUGAGCCAUAUGAAAUGAAGCCAGUUUUCAGUGAGUGCAUUUUGCUGAAACUAAGAGUGACCUGUGUGUGUCCAUGACUUCUAGAAGUUGAUAACUGAGUAGUCCUUUGUCACACAAAGGAAGCAAGAGACCUGAGGAUCAGGGGGACACAUGACUCACAACACCCUCCAAGGCAAAAAGGACAAGUAUUAGGAAGGUGAGAGAAGCAUGCAAGGUGUAUGCAUCAGCUAUGCCCAUGGUGAAGCUCAAGCCAGAAUGCUAUGAAUUGAGGCCACAAGCACAAAGGUCAAGGUAGAAAAUAAAAACCUCCACCUCCAUUUGUAAGUAAUGUGUGUCCCUCGCUCUCUCAUUCCUUUCCUCAAUUUAGCUUCAUAAGCCUUUGUUGAAGGAUUUUCUGUCUCAUUUAAAAAUAAAGGUGGGUGAGAGAGUGUUGUUUUCAGAUGAGCAGGCCAGAUGCGACAGCCUCCGUGGAGUAAAUACAUAUUCUGAUUUCUUUGUUUGUUUGUUUGUUCUGCUUAUAUAAAAAUAACUUAUGGAAGCUGAAAUACUGCAAGUGUGUAUUAAAAGCUGAAGAGACAAGGGUUUGGAGCAAUGAAUGAGAUGAAAGAGAAAGCUGCUUCAGGCAAGAUGAAAGCCAAGCAAAGGGCCGUUAAUCAUCCCAGCUGGAGAUAAACAAGAGAAAAACAGUGUCUCCUCAGAGGCGAGGAGGAGCCCCACUAUCCACCGUGGAAAUGUCUCUGACAUCGAAGUUACUGAGCUGGUUACUAAGCUUUCUAUUUCUGCUCUGUCAAAGUCAUCCCAUUAAAACUUAAAAUAAGCCUGCAACUGGAUAAUCUUACCCUUAUAGAAGCCUUAUGUAAUAUAUGCAAAUGUGUAUUUGAAUUAUUAGGCUUUUAUUUUUUUUUUCCUCAAAGCUGCACUUAAGUAAAAGUGUGUUAAAGCCUAGAGAUUUCUAAAACAAAUGUGUAUUUAGGUGCAUCUCUAAAGAAAACCUGAAGAACAAGGUUAUCUUGAGAAAAACUAAGAGGUAUAGAAGAAAAGGCCCUGUAUGGAGGACUAGAAUUGCUGGGUCCUGGUGCUGGUUUUUCUGCUUUAGAUUGGCUCUUGCAAAUCAUUUAGCUCCCAGGACUGAAAGAUGCUUUUCAAGUAGAAAGAGUUCAGAAACUAGGGACAAGAAGCCUGAGUUUGAGUCUCAUUUAUGACCUAGGUAGCUAGCAAAGAAUUUAAUAUUUGGGGUCUUAUGUGUGUAUGUGUGUGUGUGUGUGUGUGUGUGUGUGUGUGUGUGUGGUGCUGGGGAUUGAACUCAUGGCCUUGUACAUUUGAGGCAAGCACUCUGAGCUAAAUCCAACUGAGCUAAAUUCCCAACCCUGGAGUCUUGUUUUCUUAUCUAUAAAAUGGGAGAGGUAAUAGUACCUAAUAAUACCUAAUUGUUAGGACUGUUCUAACAUAUGAG